AAUCUGAAGGCAAAGAAGAGAGGGAGAGCCUGGAAUGGAGGAGUUGUCCGUUGUGGUUAGAAUUGGAGCUCAGAUUUGGGAUGCAAAGCAGUCUUCUGCUGACUACCAGUGUUCUUUCAGACAUGGCCCAGCAGCAUCCAUUCCACUCCCCACCACGCCGUGCCCUCAAACUUGGCUGCUGUCGAAGGGUGAUGUUCGUGAGCAUCUUGAAAUUUGGAAGUGUUUUUACAAGAGAGAUGCCUUGACCUUGAACUUUGACUUAGGAAUCAAUAGCCUCAUUCUUGGUAUAUUUUCGCUAUCAUUCUGUUCUGUUUGAUUCCAUUCUAUCUCCUUGAUUUUAGGUAACAUAUUUAGCAGAUGAGGAAACUGAGACAGAGUUUAAGGCACCUGACGGAGGACACACAGCAAGAUGACGACAGAACUAGGCAUUCCGCCUCCAUUGUCCUCAUUUGUCACCUGUGUAAACAGUGCCCUGUGAUUUGGUGUGGCAUGACAGAUGCCUCCAGGCCCAGGUGUCUGGCCCUCCUUCAAGCCUUCUGUUCUCAGGAUGAUGGAGAAGCCGGUUUCUGCCUCCAGGAAGAUGUCAUUUUCCAAUGAACUGAUGAUGGCCCCAAGCCCUAUUAGUUGGCUGGCGCUGUGGAUUUCAAGGUGGCUGUUUAAUGAAUUGUGGGGCCAGUUCACUGCUGGGUCACCACAUCCCCGCUGACCCCUAGCGAUACACUGAUAGACGGGUGUGGGGCUCCCUCCAGCAGCGGGUGCAUUCUGCAGGGUACAGCCCUGGGGCAGUGCAGCAAAUCAGAGUAGUAGCAGAAUCUGUCCCCCCACCCCUGGCUGCCUCCUCUAAGUAACGUGGUUCUUAGAUGAUGAAUUACGGCUGGCUCUGGGAAGUGGGCGAAAUCGACCCGGUCUUCUCUUUG
rnacentral:lncRNA from 1 species